AUCACAUCUAUUUAUAGAUGUAAAUUUAGGCUAAACUCAACACCAAUUAUAGUUCUCUCAACAAAGAAAAUGGACAGAACUUCAUUCAACUUGGCAGUCUUGGUAGCUCUAAUAUUUACUAUAUGCUGUUUUGUUGAUGGGAUUGAACCAAGAGAAAUGAUAGUAAAGUCGAAGAUGGCGAGACAGGAAAUUUCUUUUAAAAAUCAUAAGAGACAAGACUUCAAUUGUUUUGUGGAUGAAAAUUGUAUUGAAAUAUGUCCCGAUACCUGUGACCAUAUUUACUGUAAACAUGGUACGUGUCUAUGUCAGAAAUUUCUUCAGAUAUCAGUACCUUGUGAGCCUUUCUUAUAGGGAUUAAGAUCUCAAAUGGAGUAAUGAAGCUUUAUUUCUUGUUACAAAAAUUGUAAGGGAUGCUAGAAUUAUAUAUAUAUCAUUAUAUAAUUAUCAGGUUUCUUUUUA